CUGAAACUCUCUAGCCUGAAGCUAGACGCUGCUGCUGCUGAGCUCUCUGCUGAACCCACUGUCUCUGGACCCAAUUGGUUCCCCCUCUCCAGUGAUCUGUCUGAACCUCAUCAAGAUUCUCAGUGAUUGCUGUCCCGGACCUGUACCAGAACCAGCUCUUGUUAUUCUGUGUGCUCAUCCUUUAAUAAACUGUUAAACUUUUA